GAUGAACGCUGGCGGCGUGCCUAAUACAUGCAAGUCGAGCGAACGGACGAGAAGCUUGCUUCUCUGAUGUUAGCGGCGGACGGGAGAGUAACACGUGGAUAACCUACCUAUAAGACUGGGAUAACUUCGGGAAACCGGAGCUAAUACCGGAUAAUAUUUUGAACCGCAUGGUUCAAAAGUGAAAGACGGUCUUGCUUUCACUUAUAGAUGGACACGCGCUGCAUUAGUUAGUUGGUAAGGUAACGGCUUACCAAGGCAACGAGGCAUAGCCGACCUGAGAGGGUGAUCGGCCACACUGGAACUGAGACACGGUCCAGACUCCUACGGGAGGCAGCAGUAGGGAAUCUUCCGCAAUGGGCGAAAGCCUGACGGAGCAACGCCGCGUGAGUGAUGAUGGUCUUCUGAUCGUAAAACGCUGUUAUUAGGGAAGAACAUAUGUGUAAGUAACUGUGCACAUCUUGACGGUACCUAAUCAGAAAGCCACGGCUAACUACGUG
rnacentral:rRNA from 1 species